UCUACGGAGAGUUUGAUUCUGGCUCAGAACGAACGCUGGCGGCGUGGAUAAGACAUGCAAGUCGAACGAGAUCUCCGGAUAGCUUGCUAACUGGAGUGAAAGUGGCGGACGGGUGCGUAACACGUGAGCAACCUGCCCUGAAGUGGGGGAUAGCUCUCCGAAAGGAGGAUUAAUACCGCAUGUGGUCUUCGGAUCAAAGGUGGCUUCGGCUGCCGCUUCAGGAUGGGCUCGCGGCCUAUCAGCUUGUUGGUGAGGUAACGGCUCACCAAGGCGAUGACGGGUAGCUGGUCUGAGAGGACGAUCAGCCUCACUGGAACUGAGACACGGUCCAGACACCUACGGGUGGCAGCAGUCGAGAAUCAUUCACAAUGGGCGCAAGCCUGAUGGUGCAACGCCGCGUGGAGGAUGACGGCCUUCGGGUUGUAAACUCCUGUCAUCUGGGAGUAAUCCUUGUGCGUUAAUAGCGUGCAAGGUUGAUAGUACCAGAAGAGGAAGCGCCGGCUAACUCCGUGCCAGCAGCCGCGGUAAUACGGAGGGCGCAAGCGUUGUUCGGAAUCACUGGGCGUAAAGCGUGCGUAGGCGGCGCGGUAAGUCAGAUGUGAAAUCUCUGGGCUCAACCCGGAAACUGCAUCCGAUACUGCCGUGCUGGAGUAAUGGAGGGGUAGCUGG
rnacentral:rRNA from 1 species